rnacentral:rRNA from 1 species
UACGUAGGGGGCAAGCGUUGUCCGGAUUCAUUGGGCGUAAAGAGCGUGUAGGCGGCCAGGUAGGUCGGUUGUGAAAACUGGAGGCUCAACCUUCAGAGGUCGACCGAAACCAUCUGGCUAGAGUCCGGGAGAGGAGAGUGGAAUUCCUGGUGUAGCGGUGAAAUGCGCAGAUAUCAGGAAGAACACCCGUGGCGAAAGCGGCUCUCUGGAACGGUACUGACGCUGAGGAGCGAAAGCGUGGGGGAGCAAACAGG